rnacentral:piRNA from 2 species
ACUGCGUUCGCGCUCUCCCCUGA